UACAGAGGUCCCAAGCGUUGUUCGGAUUCAUUGGGCGUAAAGGGUGCAUAGGUGGCGCCGUAAGUCAGGUGUGAAAUCUCGGGGCUUAACUCCGAAACUGCAUUUGAUACUGCGGUGCUUGAGGACUGGAGAGGAGACUGGAAUUUACGGUGUAGCAGUGAAAUGCGUAGAGAUCGUAAGGAAGACCAGUGGCGAAGGCGGGUCUCUGGACAGUUCCUGACACUGAGGCACGAAGGCCAGGGGAGCAAACGGG
rnacentral:rRNA from 1 species